rnacentral:piRNA from 1 species
UUAGACAAGAUUUUCAGCAUUGGA